rnacentral:piRNA from 1 species
UGUUUCCCUACUCUGAACUCAGACCAUUGU